UAGCCGUAAACGAUACUCGCUAGGUGUCGGCCACGGUGCGACCGUUGUCGGUGCCGUAGGGAAGCCGUGAAGCGAGCCACCUGGGAAGUACGGCCGCAAGGCUGAAACUUAAAGGAAUUGGCGGGGGGAGCACAACAACGGGUGGAGCCUGCGGUUUAAUCGGACUCAACGCCGGGAAUCUCACCGGAUAAGACAGCUGAAUGAUGGCCAGGUUGAUGACCUUGCUUGACAAGCUGAGAGGAGGUGCAUGGCGGUGUGACUGU
rnacentral:rRNA from 1 species